AGUGAACGCUGGCGGUAGGCCUAACACAUGCAAGUCGAACGGCAGCACAGUAAGAGCUUGCUCUUACGGGUGGCGAGUGGCGGACGGGUGAGGAAUACAUCGGAAUCUACUUUUUCGUGGGGGAUAACGUAGGGAAACUUACGCUAAUACCGCAUACGACCUACGGGUGAAAGCAGGGGAUCUUCGGACCUUGCGCGAUUGAAUGAGCCGAUGUCGGAUUAGCUAGUGGGCGGGGUAAAGGCCCACCAAGGCGACGAUCCGUAGCUGGUCUGAGAGGAUGAUCAGCCACACUGGAACUGAGACACGGUCCAGAGUCCUACGGGAGGCAGCAGUGGGGAAUAUUGGACAAUGGGCGCAAGCCUGAUCCAGCCAUACCGCGUGGGUGAAGAAGGCCUUCGGGUUGUAAAGCCCUUUUGUUGGGAAAGAAAAGCAGCAGGUUAAUACCCCGCUGUUCUGACGGUACCCAAAGAAUAAGCACCGGCUAACUUCGUG
rnacentral:rRNA from 1 species